rnacentral:rRNA from 1 species
AUUGAACGCUGGCGGCAUGCUUUACACAUGCAAGUCGAACGGUAACAGGGAGCUUGCUCCGCUGACGAGUGGCGAACGGGUGAGUAAUGCGUCGGAACGUGCCGAGUAGUGGGGGAUAACGCAUCGAAAGGUGUGCUAAUACCGCAUACGAACUGAGGUUGAAAGUGGGGGACCUUCGGGCCUCACGCUAUUCGAGCGGCCGACGUCUGAUUAGCUAGUAGGUGAGGUAAAGGCUCACCUAGGCGACGAUCAGUAGCGGGUCUGAGAGGAUGAUCCGCCACACUGGGACUGAGACACGGCCCAGACUCCUACGGGAGGCGGCAGUGGGGAAUUUUGGACAAUGGGCGCAAGCCUGAUCCAGCCAUGCCGCGUGUAUGAAGAAGGCCUUCGGGUUGUAAAGGACUUUUGUCUGGGAGCAAAUACCCGGUGUUAAUAGCGCCGGGGGCUGAGAGUACCAGAAGAAUAAGCACCGGCUAACUACGUGCCAGCAGCCGCGGUAACAC